AACGAACGCUGGCGGCAGGCUUAACACAUGCAAGUCGAGCGCCCCGCAAGGGGAGCGGCAGACGGGUGAGUAACGCGUGGGAAUCUACCCAUCUCUACGGAAUAACUCUGGGAAACUGGAACUAAUACCGUAUACGUCCGAGAGGAGAAAGAUUUAUCGGAGAUGGAUGAGCCCGCGUUGGAUUAGCUAGUUGGUAGGGUAAUGGCCUACCAAGGCGACGAUCCAUAGCUGGUCUGAGAGGAUGAUCAGCCACACUGGGACUGAGACACGGCCCAGACUCCUACGGGAGGCAGCAGUGGGGAAUAUUGGACAAUGGGGGCAACCCUGAUCCAGCCAUGCCGCGUGAGUGAUGAAGGCCCUAGGGUUGUAAAGCUCUUUCAACGGUGAAGAUAAUGACGGUAACCGUAGAAGAAGCCCCGGCUAACUUCGUGCCAGCCGCCGCUGUAA
rnacentral:rRNA from 1 species